GGUUAAGUGCUCGACUUGGCACAUGUACUCAUAUUUUCCUCGAUUUAUUAUUUAACGGCAUUGUGAUUUUACUAGCAGGUAACGUUCUUGAUAUCUACCGGUGCCGUCUUUCGAAGGUGGUCUGAGGGGUAGAGUUUGCAUGCAUGUGUUUAUGGGGUCUGUGUCACCGUGUGUGUGCAUUGUAAGCAUUUGUACUGUAUAAUUUGCAAAAGAAAUGUUAGACUCUAGGGAUAUGAGGUACGGUGUAACACUAGGACAAUUAAUAGUGUAGGGUUGUGAAUGAGUAGGCUUGCAUACCUUGAUUGGACCAGCUAACUUGAUUGGUAUAUGUCAUUCUAGUUACAAUCCCAUGCAUGAACCGAAGUCCUACAGAGUCGUACGUCAUUUGAGACAAAGUAAUCUGCUUGCUGCCAUUCAGUACCUAUCAUUUUUCGUCCAAGCUUUGUGCCUGAGAGGUGUGUGGUGCUGAGAUUUAUCGAUUAUCUGUGGAUGGGUCGCUAGGAGACAUUAUGAUCUAGUGGUGCAGAAUUAGGGAUAACAUGGUUCGCGUGGCCACGCCGUCGCGUAAUAACUUUUGCGAAUAAUAAUAGAUGAUCACAGGAAAAAUUAUUGGACAUUAGAGUUUUGAGUUUUUAAAGUCUUUUAAGUCUCAUAAUAUACUAUUGGUAAACACACACAUGCUUAGUCAAAAACUCCAUUCUCCAUGGAUAGGUUUUACCUUUUGGUACACAACAUGCUGCCAUAUGCUCAGGUGGUUCCUCUAACUUCUUGUGAUCUUACAAAAAUAGCUCUAUGAGGAGGCAGUAACAUCUCUAUACUAUUAUGAUCAAAGUAAACUUAACAACUUUUCAGAUCUCGUUCACUAGAAGUUCUCUUCCCAUUGCC
rnacentral:lncRNA from 1 species